UUCCCUCUCUCCCUUCCUCCCUCCCUCUCCUCCCUCCUCCUCCUUUUCCUCCUCCUCCUCGUCCUCUUCCUCCUCAUUUUUCUCCUCUCUUCCUCCUCCAUCUAUCGAGGAUCCUGCCGUCCUGAGCUAUGGCGUGCUGCCUGUCGGAAGAGGCGAGGGAGCAGAAACGAAUCAAUCAGGAGAUCGAGCGGCAACUCCGAAAGGAUAAACGAGAUGCCAGGCGGGAACUUAAGCUGCUACUUUUGGGUACUGGUGAAUCCGGCAAAUCCACCUUCAUUAAACAGAUGAGAAUCAUCCACGGGUCUGGUUACUCGGACGAUGACAAGAGGGGGUUCAUUAAACUCGUAUACCAAAACAUUUUCAUGGCCAUGCAGUCCAUGAUCCGAGCGAUGGACCUCCUCAAGAUCCAGUACACCGAAUCUUCGAAUAUAGAAAAAGCAGAACUUGUGCGAAGCGUGGACUUCGAAACGGUUACAACGUUUGAAAGCCCAUACGUAGAGGCAAUCAAAGAUUUAUGGGCAGACGGUGGUAUCCAGGAGUGUUACGACCGCAGGCGAGAAUAUCAGCUCACAGAUUCCGCUAAAUAUUACCUAUUGGAGAUAGAUCGAGUCGCAGCACCGGACUACCUCCCAACAGAACAGGACAUUCUUCGCGUGAGAGUACCCACUACUGGUAUAAUUGAAUAUCCCUUUGACUUGGAAGAAAUUCGAUUUAGUUAUCUUAGUGACCUAGACCGUAUUGAAAAGCCUGACUUCCUUCCUACUGAACAAGACAUUCUUCGGGCUCGAGCUCCUACUACUGGCAUUAUAGAAUAUCCGUUUGAUCUGGACUCCAUCAUAUUUAGGAUGGUAGACGUCGGUGGACAGAGAUCAGAAAGAAGGAAGUGGAUUCAUUGUUUCGAAAAUGUUACUUCUAUUAUCUUUUUAGUAGCUUUAAGUGAAUAUGAUCAAAUUUUGUUUGAAUCAGAAAAUGAGAAUCGAAUGGAAGAAAGUAAGGCAUUGUUCAAAACAAUUAUUACAUAUCCUUGGUUCCAACAGUCCUCUGUUAUUCUUUUCCUAAACAAGAAAGAUUUGCUCGAAGAGAAGAUUAUGUAUUCUCACCUUGUUGACUAUUUCCCAGAAUAUAAUGGCCCUAAACAGCAAGCUGUACCAGCCAGGGAAUUCAUCUUACAGGUGUAUCUUAGUUCGAAUCCUGAUCCUGACCGCAUGUGCUACUCUCACUUCACGUGUGCGACAGGCCCACAAAGAGAUGCCAUACCUGCUAGAGAAUUCAUUUUACAGAUGUUUGUCGACUUGAAUCCUGAUAUUGAGAAGAUUAUAUAUUCACAUUUUACAUGUGCCACAGAUACAGAAAACAUCAGAUUUGUAUUUGCAGCAGUGAAAGAUACCAUUCUACAAUUAAAUUUAAAAGAAUAUAAUCUGGUUUAGAUGGCAAUACAUAAAAUUCAGGAUGGACUUAAGAAUUUUUCUUAUACCCUGACCAAGGUAUCAGUGUGAACUCUAUUAAGUUAGAAAUGGAGAAGAGACGAAAAAAGCAGAAAAUGAACAGUAAUUUAUGGUGCCAUCAACAUAUUGUCGCUGCUCCAUUACAAGUGUACCAACUAUUGAUUAGUAAAAUUUAUAACGGAGAUUAGUUUAGUCAAUCAUGCCUGGCUGACUGCGUAAUCGUCUAAUUUUUAUAUAAUGAUACCACGAGCAACACAUAAAUAAACAUAUAAGAUAGAGUGCAGCCAUGCGAUACAAUGUCUGUCCAAGUGUUCAUCUCAAAUCGAGAGAUCUCAGCAAGAAAAUGAAGAGAAGAAGGACAAAUACUUUUUAAUCACAAAUAGUCAGUGACACAAGUGAGAGCAAUUCUAGUGCCAUUUACUAGUGUGGUGUUUUUAUUGCAGUCCCUUCUUAGAUGCAAAAAGCCAAAGUGUUUUUUUAUCUGUGCCAGAAGCAAGUAAAAAUUUUUUCUGCAUGUGACUCAAAUUCAUAAUUCAUCGUAUAAAUAUUGUUAUAUAUAAUAUAUAAAAUGAAAAAUAGGUUAGCAUUGAAAGAAGCAACAUAAAACCAACAAGAAGGAAACUUUACCACCCUUCAAUAUUAAAAAAUUAUUAGAAAACAUCUGUUUGAUGUGAUUUUAGGUAAUUAGGAGCUGAAAGAUUGCAGAUUCUUCUGCUGUCUUUUUUCUCCAUAGGCUGUGUACGGAAUGUGAGGGCUGCGAUCUCAUACCAUACAAUUAUAAUCCUGCAAAUUACAAACGACAAAAGUCUUAUCAUGAUACUUUUCCUUUCAUCCAGCCCUCGCUUAUUGACACAGCAUUGUGUAGCUAGGGACAUGGUUUAAGAACAUGUGGCCCUAGUUCACAUUGUAUCCACAUUACAGUGUAUGUAUGAACUGCUCACUGCCUGCGCUCGCUCAUGCUGGCUAGCGCGCUGCCCACUGCUUGUAUUCUCUAAUGGUUCAAUAAAUUGCUGUUUGUGUCAUCUUUUAAUGUUUUAAGGAAAGAACAUUUGUAUAAAGGUGAUAGAAACUGCUUUACAUAAACCUAGAGAAUACUUGCACAAUAAACUUUACAGUGUUAGUCAAAUUGAAUUAGGGUGUGACAUUUAGAUAUGCAUUAUCUGAAUGUCUAACCCUGAUGUUACUAAUACUGCACGCACACUGGGCAGCAUAUGUCAUACCUACUUUGGUUGAAACAUUGAGUUUAUAUGAAAGAAAAAAAUAUAUAAAUACAUUGAAUAAAAUAUAAUAUUAAGAGAUAAUAACAAAUAAUAUUGAAUAAUAAUAGUAAUAAUAAUAAUAAUUAAUAAUAUUAAUAAUAAUAAUAUUAAUAAUAAUAUUAAUAAUAAUAAUAAUACUGCUUGGUUUUCAGUGAGAGUGUGUAAUUAAAAAGAAUGAAUGACAAUGAAAGAGAGGAAAUAAAUGUGUAUUCUCUCAAACUGAGAAAAAAAUGAUAGUAAAAGUGAAA
rnacentral:misc_RNA from 1 species